UACGGAGGGUGCAAGCGUUGUUCGGAUUUAUUGGGCGUAAAGCGCGUGUAGGCGGUUUCUUAAGUCUGAUGAAAGCCCCGGGCUCAACCCGGGAAGUGCAUUGGAUACUGGGAGACUUGAAUACGGGAGAGGGUAGUGGAAUUCCUAGUGUAGGAGUGAAAUCCGUAGAUAUUAGGAGGAACACCGGUGGCGAAGGCGGCUACCUGGACCGAUAUUGACGCUGAGACGCGAAAGCGUGGGGAGCAAACAGG
rnacentral:rRNA from 1 species